AGUGAACGCUGGCGGUAGGCCUAACACAUGCAAGUCGAACGGCAGCACAGUAAGAGCUUGCUCUUACGGGUGGCGAGUGGCGGACGGGUGAGGAAUACAUCGGAAUCUACUUUUUCGUGGGGAUAACGUGGGGAAACUUACGCUAAUACCGCAUACGACCUACGGGUGAAAGCAGGGGAUCUUCGGACCUUGCGCGAUUGAAUGAGCCGAUGUCGGAUUAGCUAGUUGGCGGGGUAAAGGCCCACCAAGGCGACGAUCCGUAGCUGGUCUGAGAGGAUGAUCAGCCACACUGGAACUGAGACACGGUCCAGACUCCUACGGGAGGCAGCAGUGGGGAAUAUUGGACAAUGGGCGCAAGCCUGAUCCAGCCAUACCGCGUGGGUGAAGAAGGCCUUCGGGUUGUAAAGCCCUUUUGUUGGGAAAGAAAAGCAGCAGGUUAAUACCCCGCUGUUCUGACGGUACCCAAAGAAUAAGCACCGGCUAACUUCGUG
rnacentral:rRNA from 1 species